rnacentral:snoRNA from 1 species
UAACCAUGGUGGGGGCAUUCAAGCUGGUAACUCUUGAAUCUCUCCCAAGCAUUUCUGAAUGAUUCUCGUGGAUCUUGGCGGAAAGUGGAGAUUUCUUCCUUACAUCC